UUACGUAGCUGCCCUGAACUGAGAGCAACGGUGGCCGGGGGCUAGGGAGCCUGGCUGUCGGCGCUCACCGUGCGCCUUGGGCUGUGGGGCGCGGGCACUGUCCGAGGUACUGAACUCCGGGGCUCCGGCCGCGCCGGCAGAGUGUGCCGGCGUCCAUUAUUGCCAGUGUCUGUGGGCAUCUUCCAGAAGGCCGAGCGUGGGGGUCAGGUGAAACCAGGGCGUGCACAUCCCCCUACUUGGACAGUUUUGUUCUCAACCGCGAUGGCUCCAAGAACGGGAAGCAGAGAAUGCGUUGGCUGCACGAAGCGACGCCUCGUAACCCGGGCCAUGUGAGACUCACCUGCUUCUCCUUCGCCUCCCGCCAUGAUUGUAAGUUUCCUGCGACCUUCCCA